rnacentral:rRNA from 1 species
CCCUUAGAUGUCCUGGGCUGCACGCGCGCUACACUGAUGUGUCCAGUAAGCACCUAACCUCUUCCGAAAGGAACGGGUAACCUUUGCAAAGCACAUCGUGAUGGGGAUAGAUUAUUGCAAUUAUUAGUCUUGAACGAGGAAUUCCUAGUAAGCACAAGUCAUCAGCUUGUGUUGAUUACGUCCCUGCCCUUUGUACACACCGCCCGUCGCUCCUACCGAUUGAAUGUUCCGGUGAGCUCUUCGGACUGCGCGGUCUGCAGUUUCUGCGUUCCGUGCGGAAAGUUGCGCAAACCUUAACAUUUAGAGGAAGGAAAAGUCGUAACA